rnacentral:rRNA from 1 species
GACGAACGCUGGCGGCGUGCUUAACACAUGCGAGUCGAACGGUAAGGCCCUGCUUUUGUGGGGUGCUCGAGUGGCGAACGGGUGGGUAACACGUGAGUAACCUGACCUUGACUUUGGGAUAACUUCAGGAAACUGGGGCUAAUCCCGGAUAGGAGCUCCUGCUGCAUGGUGGGGGUUGGAAAGUUUCGGCGGUUGGGGCUGGACUCGCGGCUUAUCAGCUUGUUGGUGGGGUAGUGGCUUACCAAGGCUUUGACGGGUAGCCGGCCUGAGAGGGUGACCGGCCACAUUGGGACUGAGAUACGGCCCAGACUCCUACGGGAGGCAGCAGUGGGGAAUAUUGCACAAUGGGCGGAAGCCUGAUGCAGCAACGCCGCGUGCGGGAUGACGGCCUUCGGGUUGUAAACCGCUUUCGCCUGGGACGAAGCGUGAGUGACGGUAAUGGGUAAAGAAGCACCGGCUAACUACGUG